AUGGCAGGAACGAAGGGCGACGACGGACCGGCCAUCGGCAUCGACCUCGGGACGUCCUACUCCUGCGUGGCCGUGUGGCGGCCGGUGCACCAGCGCGUGGAGGUCAUCGCCAACGACCAGGGCAACCUCACCACGCCUUCCUGCGUCGCCUUCACCGACACCUGGCGUCUCAUCGGCGACGCGGCCAUGAACCAGGCCGCCAUGAACCCCGUCAACACCGUCUUCGGUGAGAAGAGAACUACCAACUGA
rnacentral:rRNA from 1 species